rnacentral:lncRNA from 1 species
UCUCUACUGACUUGAUUUCACAUGGGCACAAGUGCAGAACCAGAACUGCUGCUCAAGGAGGAGGAAGAAGAACAUAGCACUGAUAACAGGUAUGGUCAUUUCAGAAAUAUCAUUCAUUAUGAAAUCAGUUCCAGAAAAACAACAGCAUAUUUCUCCUACAAAAUCCAACACAGUCCUGUCGAUUGCAACUGCCACUUCAAUUCUCAUCGUACUCUACCUCCCUCGCUGUCUCCUCGCUUUCUUCCUCUCACCUGUUACAAUCUCCACUCUGCUUGUUCUCGCCAUUCUUCUUCAUUUUGGCCCUGAACCGGACAAUACCACUAUUACAGACUUUACAGCUCGUCGACAAGAGGCAAACCAACUGCCACCCAUCGCACCAAUCUUCGUACAAGACGUUGCAGCUGGAUUUAACGAUCUGGGUUCUUCUCGGAAUUCGAUUAUUCAUGAAGAUGUUCCUAGUUGGUGGUGGUGUCUCGAUGGGCCAUUGGAAGUCAUAUAUGAGGAAGAAGAAGAUGAAGAAGAAGAUGAUAAUAAAGAAGAAGAAGAAGAAGAAGAAGAAGAUGAAGAUAAUAAAGAAGAAGAAGAAGAAGAAGAUGAUGAUGAUGAUGACGAUGAUUCAUUAGAGAAUAUUCGAUACCCAUGGAUGGAAAACAGAUAUGAAGAUCAGUAUGAAGAAGAGGAGAUGAUAGAGAUCAAUUUCGAUGAAGAGAAUAUGAUAGAAAUAGAUUUGACAAAGUACAGAGAUUUGAAUCGAGGUAUGAAUUAGGGCUAGCUAGCUGAUUAUUGGAUUCAAUAAAUGAAAAAUAAUUUGGUAUCUGAUUAAACUCGUAAAUAACGAC